ACUGGACAGAAUCUGAUAAGGAAAAAAAAACAAAUAUUGCCAAACUGGGCUGUCAAAGCUAUAUAAAGCUGAUCUAUUGUGGAGGAAAGAAGUGGAGCAAAAAAUAUAGUGAGAUUUCAGACACUAAUUUUUGAAUAAGAAAACGUCCAAACGACUUAGUGAUCAAACAGAUUCCUGCUCUUUAAGGUAAAUGGAUUUUUACUCUAUAAACUCUAUACAUGCUAAGCACUGAACUGCAGGUGUGAUAAAGGUCUGUAUCUUAUCUAAAUCACCUCUUACGCUAUUUAGCUAGCGUUUUUGCCAAACUUCUGCCUGAGAAUUACUAAUGAACUUCCUGUUUCUCAUUUGAGCAUUUAAAGGAUUUCUACGUCCAUCUUCCUUUUUCUUCUAAACAGCUCCUGACAGCAGUGAAGCUGCAACUUACAGAUAUGGUCAUGGAGAUCCGUGUGUUUAUCUUUGUCAUACACAUCAGCAUUAAUAAGAUCAAGUUUACUUGCAACUUAAAAAAAAAAGUGGACUGUAAAUAAUUAAAAACACAAAACAGGAUACUUACCUUAACAUAUUGGAAUAGUUUCAAGACAAACAGCUUGAAAGACACAGAUGUUGACACAGAACAAAUAUUGACAAACUGGGCUGUCAAAGCUAUAUAAAGCUGAUCUAUUUUGGAGGAAAGAAGUGGAGCAAAAAAAUAUAAUAUGGUCAUGGAGAUCCGUGUGUUUAUCUUUGUCAUACACAUCAGCAUUAAUAAGAUCAAGUUUACUUGCAACUUAAAAAAAAAAAGUGGACUGUAAAUAAUUAAAAACACAAAACAGGAUACUUACCUUAACAUAUUGGAAUAGUUUCAAGACAAACAGCUUGAAAGACACAGAUGUUGACACAGAACAAAUAUUGACAAACUGGGCUGUCAAAGCUAUAUAAAGCUGAUCUAUUUUGGAGGAAAGAAGUGGAGAAAAAACAUACAGUGAGAUUUCAGACACUAAUUUCUGAAUAAGAAAACGUCCAGACGACUUAGUGAUCAAACAGAUUCCUGCUCUUUAAGAUAUGGUCAUGGAGAUCCGUGUGUUCGGCCUGGUUCUGCUGUUGGUGCUGAGCGUCGCACUGCCUGCUGAAGCCCAGUCCUGGGAGAUAUUCAAAAAGAAGCAUGUUUACCUGCACAUGAAAGAUUCUUCAUGUACCAAGAGGA